AAUAGAUAUCCUGGUAGUCCACGCCGUAAACGAUGAGUGCUAAGUGUUAGAGGGUUUCCGCCCUUUAGUGCUGCAGCUAACGCAUUAAGCACUCCGCCUGGGGAGUACGGUCGCAAGACUGAAACUCAAAGGAAUUGACGGGGGCCCGCACAAGCGGUGGAGCAUGUGGUUUAAUUCGAAGCAACGCGAAGAACCUUACCAGGUCUUGACAUCCCACUGACCGGUAUAGAGAUAUACCUUUCCCUUCGGGGACAGUGGUGACAGGUGGUGCAUGGUUGUCGUCAGCUCGUGUCGUGAGAUGUUGGGUUAAGUCCCGCAACGAGCGCAACCCUUGAUCUUAGUUGCCAGCAUUUAGUUGGGCACUCUAAGGUGACUGCCGGUGACAAACCGGAGGAAGGUGGGGAUGACGUCAAAUCAUCAUGCCCCUUAUGACCUGGGCUACACACGUGCUACAAUGGAUGGUACAAAGGGCUGCAAGACUGCGAAGUCAAGCCAAUCCCAUAAAACCAUUCUCAGUU
rnacentral:rRNA from 1 species